CUAGUGUGAUUUGCAAAUUUUCGAUUUUUUUCGUUUGGAUAUAUUUCGCUCAAGAAAAGCUAUAUUUCGCUCAAGAAAAGCUAAAUUUCGAUUGGAUAAGUGACUCUAAGUCCUGCUAAAGGCUUAUUGAUCGCAGGUAUGUAUUAUUAUUACUCUUUAUAUCAUAUAAUUAUAACGUCCAUCGACCCUAUUUAUAUUUCAUUCUGCUAAAAUUUGAAUUUGCGCGCACGAGAUUUUAUAUAUUGAAAUAAUUUAAUUCCAAUGCCGCCAAAUAUUAGUUAAAACCAACAAUUCAAAUUUUGAACCAGCACAUUAUAGUAAAUACUGGGUUGCACUUGUUUGACAAAACUCGAGAAAGCAUCUUUGAACCCACACAGUGUAUUAAUAUUUGAAACAAUACGUGAAAUGUGAAUAUGAAUAUAAAUAUGGGUUUGCUUUGCUACAAGCCUAUUUAAGCCAAACCAUGAGAAUUAUUUGAGAGUAUUAAUUAAAUUAUGUUCUUUUAAUCACCUCUCCCCUGGAUUUCCAAGGUCUUUCAAGUCAUUGAGUGCCACUGAGCUCUCUCCCCUUGACAAGUAAAAUCACAUAGGCAUUAACUCUGCCUAGGGUUACUGGCCGGGUUAGACUGAGUAAAAUUAGUGGUGUUUACACUACAAGCCUUGGCCAGGCCAAGAUAAAUGUGGCAUGUUUACACCAUUGCACUAUUUUUUUGAGGUCUACAGGCUCACUUUGGCUAAUAUUUUUUUAUUAUUGUGUUGUGAUGUUGUCUGCUGGUUGUCUGCUAAUCUCUCACUGUGGACACAUGUUACCAUGAAAAUCAGGCCCCGGCCAGGGCGAAAGUGUUUACAUUUCCACAAGCCAGGUAGGCUUACGCCAGGUCUGUUGUAGUGAGUCCAGAUUUCCUGGCCUAGGUCAGGACAAGGCUGGGCCAUUUCCACAAGCCUAGGCUUAGGCCAGGUCGGUUGUAGUAAGCCCAGAUUUCCUGGCCUAGGUCAGGACAAGGCUAGACCAAAGUCUGUUACACUGUCAAAAUGUUGGCCAAGUCUGGUAGUGUAAACACGACUAUUGAAUGCAUCAGGGUGCAUUACGACUAAAUGGUUAGUGUUUCCCACAAUAUGGUAAAAAGGUAUAAACUUUUGCUAGCUUGAGCUUGGAUGAUUUCCGAGCUAAACCCUUCUAGAGUUUACCCUGUAUACAUGUGCCUGUUUAUAUGAUAAUGGCAUGACUGGACAGUAGGUUUUAAUCCAGGAUGGUGUGUUUAAUAUAGACGGAAUACACCCCACCUGGCAGGAAUGAUAGAGUGCUUACUGUAUAUGAGAGUUUCUUGUCCUGGCAGGUGGGAUCCUGUCUAGGCCUGAUAGAAGUAGAAUAAUUCACUUUAAUUACUAAACAGUUGAUAGAGUUCACAUUGCAUGCUGGAUCAUGCCGGCGGUGUCAUAAUAAUUACAAAGUGGCUACAGUAUGAUGCUUGUGAUGUUACUCUGAGUGUAUAUCCACACCGUGCAAGCUUGAAAAAUAUGAAGGAUUUCAGCAAGCUCAAAAAUAGAUCACAAGGUUAGGCAGAUGGCUGCUGUGCUGUAGUCUGUGGUUCGAACCCGAGUUGGGACAGGUUUUUGUUCACCUUAACUAAACAUGUCUUUUUUUCUGAUUAGUUUAUUUUUUAGGGGUAGAGGUUAGGAUUAGUUUUGUUUGAAUUUGACUUUAACUAUAAAUACAACCUGUGUGGAGACUAAGAAUGAGAGUGCCAUAAAUAUAGCCUGGCAAAGUUUGUUUACGGGCCUGAAGAUAUAUGGCAUUAGACAGAGUACAAUAAUCUGGCAUUUAAAAGACAGUAAAAUAAGGAAGUAGGACACACAAGGGUUAGGGUACAAUACAACUUAAUGGGUUCACUAGACACAUGACCAUAUUAACCCAACAAAACAGAAAUACUUCUCAAGAAGUUUAGCAGGACAUUAAGAUGGGGUGUUAACUGGAUAUUACACUAGGCCGGACAUGCAUAAACUGCAUUGUACCACAACUUUAUUGUUUUAAGGUUGUUUUCCAGUCCUCGCACAAAGCUCCUUGCAGCUCGCUGCGAGGGCUUGUAUCUAAUUAAAAUUAACUGUUUAGCAUUGUGAUUGGAUGAAACUGCUCAUGCAUGCACUCUCAGCGAGCUGCGAGGAGCUUCGUGUGAGAACUGGAAAACCGCCUUUACUCUGUCUGAUGGGUCGGUCCAGAAAAGAUCCACUCUCCCCCGGGCACAGAGGAAAUUUCUACCGUCAGGAGGGGAGGGGAGAAAAAAUUGUUUCUGAUAAUAGUAAGUGUAUUAGGACAUUCUAAUUUCAAAGGGGAUAGGGGAUUAACUUCCAAUCUCCUUCAUACAUAAUCUUAUGAAUCUAUUCAAAGUUUUCUGGAAUAAGCCAAUAGCAUAUUAAAUCACAAAUACCAACAACCAGUAGCAGAUACCUCGUAAAAUAUUGGGGGUACUGUUGAGAUGUCUGUUAACAAAUCCUAUCUAGUGCAUAUUUCUCUUGUUCACCCAUUCACUGGCAAUAUGCUCUACCUUAUAUUACUCUGUCUAAUGCCAGCAAAUUUUACAGUUUUACUUGUUGAGAAGAUAGCCUUGCAGCAGUUUCCAAUUUUCCAUGUUUCGCCCACACAGAGAACACAGUACAUUACAGGGGAUGAGAAGGGUAAAAGCCAUAUGAACCAAGGGUUAUCAAUUACGUUAAUACUAGAACCAACUUCAACCAAAGGUUGGGUUGUGCUACUACAUUAGGUCUUCUCAUUCGUAAUAAUUUGCAAAGUUUAUAGGUUGGACAGGAGGGAAUUGCUCAUAUUGCUGCAUGCGAACUGUGAACUUGUACUAUAUACUGUAAUGUUAGCUGACCGGUACAUUAAAUACAGUAUGUAGAGCUAAUGAUAGUCUUGUAUUUCCUUUCUUAUAGCUCAUGUGACUAAACGUUUUGCGGGAGCAACAGCUUCAUCAGUGAAAGGUGCCAUGGCCCAAAAGUGCAAAGACAAAAGAAAUGCUGAUAUGAAAAGAAGAAAAAUUGUAGAACACAUUUGAACUGCUAAGUUUUUUCCUUAUUAUAAAUUAUUUUGUAUGGUAGCUAAACAUUUGUAGAAAUUAACUGCAUUAAUAAAUUAUUUAAACUUCCUAUAUAUACCAUUACAGUAUCUCACUGUUUGACAGGUUAAAUGUGCAUGAUUGAAGCUUUGCAUAAUUUCACAUGUGAAACUGGAACAUGUGAUAUUUCACAUGUGUAUUUGGAA
rnacentral:lncRNA from 1 species